rnacentral:piRNA from 1 species
AGGGAACUCAGAAGGAGGAGGCU